rnacentral:tRNA from 1 species
GGGGCUGUAGCUCAGUGGCAGAGCGCUUGCCUAGCAUGUGUGAGGCACUGGGUUCGAUUCUCAGCACCA